GCUAUUUGUGGUCUCCCAAACUUGCAGUCAGUGGACAUGAAAACCAAUAACAUUGUUGACCUGCCAGGCCCGGCAUCCUGGGUUUCCAGUAACCUCAGAGAGCUCAUAUUCAGUCAUAAUUCUAUCACAGCAUUGGAUCUGUGCGGGCCAAUCGAUAAGUGGGCCAGACUGGAAAAGCUCCACCUGAGUGACAACAAGCUUACUGAGAUUCCUCCACAGAUUGGCUCAUUGGAAGGU